GGUAGCAUGGCCGAGUGGUCUAAGGCGCUGGUUUUAGGCACCAGUCUCUUCGGAGGCGUGUGUUCGAGUCCCACUGCUGCCA
rnacentral:tRNA from 1 species